UACGUAGGGUGCAAGCGUUAAUCGGAAUUAUUGGGCGUAAAGGGUGCGCAGGCGGAUGUAUAAGUCAGAUGUGAAAUCCCCGGGCUUAACCUGGGAAUUGCGUUUGAAACUAUAUGACUAGAGUGUGAUAGAGGGGAGUGGAAUUCCAUGUGUAGCAGUGAAAUGCGUAGAGAUGUGGAGGAACACCGGUGGCGAAGGCAGCCCCCUGGGAUGUGACUGACGCUCAUGUACGAAAGCGUGGGGAGCAAACAGG
rnacentral:rRNA from 1 species